rnacentral:tRNA from 1 species
GUGGCUGUAGUUUAUUCGUAAAAAUUCCACAUUGUGGCCGUGGAGACCUAGGCUCGAAUCCCAGCAGCCACA